CCGCCACUAGGGAUUUCCCGAUAAAAUACACAUGUGUGUGUGUGUGUAAGCGUAUAUCCAUGUGGUAGUUCUAUCAGGAGAAUACGCAUACAUAUAUACGAGCCAAUAGAUGAAUCAAAUGUAAAAAUAAUUCUUCGCAAGUUGUAUUUUAAGAGACAACAGUAAUGCUAGAUGAGAAUAACAUUUGCAAAUAAUUAAUUAAUUUAUAUUUAUAAAUAAGGAAUGUUUUUUUGUUACGUUAGUGUCUUAUCUGUGUAUAUUAUAAUUAAAUGUUAUAUUAAUGUUUAAUUGUUUAAUAUACAUGUAUCUGAUAAGAAAAGGAAAAAUAUACAACAGUUUUUUUCUAUAUCUCAAGGAGGAAAAAGAAGCAAAUAUAUUCAGUUUUAUAACUCAUAUGUGUAUUAUAUAAGUUUAAUCAUUGAUGUUUUCAAGAACAUUCUAAUCCUCGAGAUUACUCAUGAAUUUUUUCAAUUCCAUAUAUUAUUGUUCGAUGCACACAUACUAGCAUACUUAUCAAGCAUUGCGGAAAAGAUUUUCGUUAUAAUAUUACUUGAUAAUCAGCAAAAAACGAAUGCGAAUAUAUCUUGUGUACAGCAAGAAGUUUCUCUAACGUAUUAUUUUAACUAAAAUAACAAAUAAGUUUUUAUAUAUAAAAAUCUCUUAACAUUUAUUACAAUUAAAUUACAUCAAUAUAAGUGUUUAAAUUUUUUAAAUUCAGCUUUUAUUUUGUUUUAAUAUAUAUAUAUAUAUAUAAUUUUUUGUAAUUUGAAUCAAGAAAAUUCAAUAUUCUUCAAUGUAUAUACUCUUACGUCAUAUUUUAAACUUUUUAUAUUUUUAAAUAUUAGCGCGAAAUAAUUAUGCUUGGAGAUUGGUUAUAUAUAAAGUAGCAUUGUGCGCAUGCGCGGCGGGAAUCGUUAGAUGCUAACCAAUUCGAAUUAGACGCCAUGUUGAAUUUUAGGACAUUACCAAGUUGACAUCGGAAUCGUCGUCGUCCUCGUAAUUACAGCCUUUCUCGUCAUUCUGAGGUAAGAUGCCCGUCGUGCGAGCAUCAACGAAGAUUUAAAAACGUCAUCGUAAUCGUAAUCGUGCGCGAAUGAAGGAGUCGUGUGUUGUAUCGGUAAAAUAAAAAUAAAAAAAUCGCGAAGUAGAAUCAGUGUUGUUGUUCGUCGUAUAUGAAAGUUUCGGUCGAGUAAAAGAAAUUUAUCAAUAGAAAGAGACUCAUCAAGUUUCUUAUUUUCGGCAGCAUUUUGUUAAAAUUUAAAAGGAGUCGCGAGACGUAUCGUCAUUGCAAUUGCCAUUGGACUCUAAUCCCUAUUCGAAAGAAACAUGUGUCAACAAUAUUUCUUUCCUUUCAAAGAAGAAGAAGAAAAGAGAACAACUCCUCUUCGAUGGAAGUUUCUAACAGGAAAACCAAGAAGUUCUCUGAUCGCGUGACCAAUGUGAUCGUUGUAAAGUAGGUGUGUUUUGGAGCCAUCGGAGAACAUCUCUAAGUAGUGAGUGAACUUUGAAGUCCCUCCGAUCACUCAAUCAUGUCGUGGACAAAAGGUCCCAAUCGGCACGGGUGAUCGGUUGUAAUUAAAUAUUAAUUUGUAGAAGAGCAUUUGAGUGACCACGAGUAAAUUUUCUUUUAGGAGAUUUAAUCGUGAAUGCUUUCUUAAUUUUCUUAUUUAUUUAUUCAUUUAUUAGAUCAGGAUAGGGUCUUCUUGUUUCAUAAACGUUUGGAAUGAUUUAUAUUGUGAAUAUAUCAAUGCAUUUUUUGAAAUAUCUUUGCCUCGCGAUAGUAGGGAAGAAUUCAUGGGAAAUAUAAAUUAAUAAUUUGCAUCGUAAUUCGUAGUGAAUUAAUUAUACAUGAAUAUUAAUUAUACAUGAUAUUCAUGAGUUCUAAUAAAUAAUGAGCAAGAAGAUAUUCGCGAUGGACUGUCUUUGGAUUACAAGCGAUAUUAUGCAUGAUCUUUUUGUAACAAUCAGAGUAAUCGCUUGUAAGAAGGAGCGUUCAAGGAUUUUCCAUUAUAUUUUUAAAUUAGAAUUAAUUAAAUAUUUGCUCAAUUUGAAUUGAUAAAAGAAAAGUCUCGAGUAGAGUCAUUGCUUUGAAAAAAAAAAAAAAAAAAAGAAAUAAUCGAGUAGAGUAGUCAUUGCUAAAAGACAAAGAGACUUGUAGAAUCAUAGCCCGUAUGCUUAAUCAAUAAUAAGUUAAUCAUUUGUAGCUUAGAAUUUUCAGCAAUUAAUAUAUACUAAUCCCCGUUUCUCCUUCUCCCCAUUCUUUCCGCGUUCUCAUUUAUACGUGUGCCCAGGUGUUACUCGUAUGGGUGAGAAACGGUUAGUAUGGGUUUAGUUUUAAGUUUCCCCAUUUGGCGGUUGUCAUUGUUUAGUGGUUGUGCCCGAUUUACGAUUCAUGCGUGUGCGCGUUUAGGUGGUGAAUCGUACGUCGGUCCGCGAUAAAUUCUUUCUCUUGAAAUAUUUAAUACACUUUAUUUACAAAUGAAUUUUGAAUAUAAAUAAAUAUAUAUAUAUAUAUAUUUAUACAAAUUUUUUCGCGUUGCAAAGUAGAGCGAUCAAAUUCGAUGUGAUAACGAUGAAAUACUCGUAUGCUAUUGGUACAAUUAUAUACUAAUACAUAUUAGUAUUUUUUUCUUUCUUUGUUUUAGUCAUAUCACGCAAUAAUCAUUAAACGUGACAGUCGAUUACAGCAAAAUGGUACGUACGCCUAUAUAGUAUGUAAGUGAGAAACGCGAUUGAGCUAGGGUGUCGGAGGUGCCCCGGGGCAUGCUCUCUAGUGUAGGUUUUUGCACUCUGGUGGUAUGUGAGAGAAUCGUGGAGUGUGUGUGUUGGAACGAACGAUUUGCUAUUUUUUUAUAUAUAGGUUAUAGGCAGGCAGGUAGCAUACUUUUCUGAGCGAAUGUGUAAAUUUUAAUUUUAAGCAGGUAUGGCCCAGACAAGGCGCAAGAUAUGCUCAAGAGUGAGAAAUCUCGUCUCUGGAUUUAUACAGAAUCGUCACGAAAUUUUAUUUAAGUUUCAGUCAUGCUUACCUCGUUAAUUUAUUUAGUGACGGUUCUGUUACUUCAUUAUGUAUCAUGAUUCAAAGGGAUUUCCAAUCAUUUGUUAUCGAUUAGCUUCUAUGUCGAUCCUAUUUCAAACGAAAUUGAAUCGAACAGUCGGCAAAACCUUUGAUGAAUUUGAUACUUCGUUUUGUAAGAUUAGCACUUCGCACGAUUCGCGAUUUUCUCUUUUGAAUAUUCGAUAUGAUAUAUAUAUAUAUAUAUAUAUAUAUAUAUAUAUUCGAUAUAAUAAUUAUUAAUUAUCGCGAAUACGCGAAUGUACGAUUGAUAUACAAAGUAUUGUAAGAAAAUCUAUUAGAGAUCAAAUCAUUAUAUAAUAUCUACUGCAUACCUUAUUUUCAUCCGACUUUAUUUUUCCAUAUGAAAAGUGCGAAGGGUUAAUGUUAGUUUUUAAUAGGUCAUCGAUUAGUAUUAUUAUCUGCUGGGGCAUUCGAAUUAAUGUUCUCGUCGAUUGAUUCCAAGUUUGUUGAUUGUCUACUCGCUAGGAUAAUUAACAAAAAACAAAUGAAACAAAUUUUUUUAUUAAUUAAAAUGUACGUCAUUAACAUUAAAAACGAUUCUAUUAUCAUAGUUUGUCAUAUUACGACGGUGUGACAUUAGAAUUAAAACUUUGCAUGGUCGAAAAUCGCUGUAAUCAUUUUUUAUGCAAAGCAUUUAGAUCUUUUCUUUUCAGUUGUAUUUGAGUUGCCUGUUUCCUUUUAUAUUUUAGAAUCAGGGACAGUUUUAAUUAAUUGUAAUAAUUCUGUUACCAGAAUAUUUGAACGAUAAACGUUUGUAACCAAAGAUUAUUUUCUUGCUAUCGCGUAAGGAAUGCCCUGCAGCAGUGAUUACGAAGUAAAGAAGAGACUAUUAUGUCGAAGAGGCCCCCACAAACUGUGGCUCAAGAGGGCAACUAUAGGCUAUUGAGUUACUUUCGAAGGUUCCUGCAGCAUGUUCGAACCUUCCGAGAAUGGCUCUUAGUCAUACAUACUUUAUCAUAUUGUCACUCGAAAUGCUCUUAUGGUGGUGGGUGUAGGGGUAGAUUUGAAAAACUAACCAACGUAAUAUCUCGUCGCCAGUCCUGCAUUGCCUCGGGUACGCGAAUAUGAUUAUUUCAUAUUUUAUGUAUUUUCAUUAAUAAUGUCUGGUCAUACAUAUUUUUUUACUUUUUUCUUUUUUUCUUUUUUUCU